ACUUGGGAGAGGCCCUGCACCUUGCCUGGGCAGCACAGUAGAGCUGACCCUAGUGAUGAAGGUGCUGGUGAGCCAGUCCCCAGGGCAUGAGAGCAGAAGAGCUGACCCUCUCUCUUGGCAUCUGCAGCACUGGGUGUGCUAGCUGGGGCGAUGCUAGCUGGGGCGAUGCUGGACAGUUCACCCUGGUGGUGCAGGGGCAGGAGAGUGGCCAGGCUGACCAACUCAGGGCUCCGAGUUGGCCAACCACAAUAUCUAGGUGGAGCUUGUGAAGGGGCCAGUCCUGUAGGCCCAACGCUACAGUAUCUCCAUGACACAGGGCAACAACGGGACGUACCAGAGUCCAGGCAAGCAACGAGCUACGGAAGGCUAUGCAAGAGUAACAGCAGCCUUUACUCCAAUAAGUUCACGAACAACCUGUCACCCAGGUUGUGCUCCCUGCCCUCCUGAUCCCGUGUCCAGUGUGACAAGGCACAGAGAAGACUAGAAGAGCAGCCAGCACUCACUGGUUUACACUGGAAGGGCCUGGAUCACAGAACGGUGGGGAGAUCUCAAGAGCAGUUGGAGAAAUCAAAAACUAAAGAAAACUGAGCCUGGAACGGGAAGCCUUGUUUUUGAACCUUGAAAGAAGUCAGCAGCUGAGACAGUGUGGUUAUCACGGCUUAGCUGGAGAAUGUCCAACCCUGCCAUCAGGUACUGGAGUUUUCUCAAAGCAUACCCCAUGCCAUCUUCGGGGCCAGAAUCCAACCAAAAGGUAUUAUUUAUGAAAGGUUCCACGCACAAAAAACGUCACCCUAUCCCCCUCUUCCUAGUAAGGGUGAUUAUGUGGAGACAUUAACAUUGACAGAGACAAAACUAUAAAGAUCUUUAAGGCAGUGCUCUCCGCAGCCUCCUGCACCGAUGUAGUCAGGAGUCUCCCUUAGGCGUGGAGAGGCUGCUGCAUGGUCAGGAGCACUGUCUGCUCUUCCAGAGAGAGGUCCACGGUUUCACUCCUAGCACCCAAGCGACAGCUACAACUGUAACUCGUUUCAGGGGAUCUGGCCACCGUGGGCACCAGGCAUACACAGGGUACACAGAUAAAUAUGCAGGCAGAACAGCCCUACACAAAAGAAUCUCUCCCUUGAAAGAAGCAGCCACUGGGGCCCACAGGAUAGACAGCCACUGAGAUGAUAGCACAACAUCUUCCUUCUUGCCUGUCUCUUCGACCCACCUCUAACGGAAUCGCUGACCUUCCAGUCUCACAUGCUAGCCCUCCCAGACAGUGGUGCUCUUCCCGUGGGCAGCCUGGCUCCAGGGAGGACAGGCAGCCUGUGCUGUGCUAUUCCUGCUGCUCCAGAGCUGGAGACUGAAGACAGGGCUGGUGGUGAGCAGAGACUGGGGACAGCCCAGGAAGGAAGAUGUUCUUUGGCUUAGUUCAUUUUGAGCCUCUCCUCGUUCUAUGACAUCCUAGCACCCCCUUCGGGGCAGAGCAGGCCACCAGCUCACCU